AUUCGGUUAACGAGUCCUGAAUAGGACGAAACGCUCGUCAAACCGAAU
rnacentral:hammerhead_ribozyme from 1 species